AGCACAGCGAGCCAGUGGCCGGAGGCUCAUUCGGCCCCUGGCAGGCCAGUGCCAGGACUCACGGUCUCACCUUGCGACAUCUCGGGACCUAGUGUUCUCACCUGUGAAAUGGGGAUAAGGAGAGUGCCCUCCUCACAGGAUGCUGAGCAUUCAAAGGAACGUAUGUAUAACAGCAGCCUGGCACAGAGCGAGGACUCGACACACGUAAAUGGCUGCUAUGAUGAUGAUGAUGACAAUGACAACUGUGAUGAUGACAGUGACAUAGUAAAGAGCUGGGCCAGAAGCAUGGGAGCAGGUGCUUCAGGCCAGAGCCCUGUGCCCCAGGGUCCUAUGUAGAUGGAACAGGACUGAGCCCAGGGAGGAAGGCCUGCCAGCAAUCCCAGCUGUCGAAAAGUCACCUGUCCAAACUCAAGCCGGGUGUCGAGGGGGGAGCGGUGGGAACCUGAGCGGGACAGGACUUCCUGGGGUCAGUACACAGCAGGCAGCCACCCCCUCACCCGGCCCAUCUGGUGCAGCCGUGGGCGCAGCAGCCCUUCCUACGGCUCCGGGUCCACCUGCUCCCGUCUGUGUGCGGCGAGUCUCUUUGCAAAUCCAACCAAAUACUAGUUCGGGAAAGCACGGGGGGCUCACGGCCCACUUCAGAGGCAGGGUUUACACCAUCAGCCAAAGACAGACAGCAUGGAAGGUGUUGAAGAGCUAAGCAAUUUCCCUGGCCUUGGCCAGGGCCUAAUAAAAGUCCCAAGGCAGCCCUCGCGGUGAGAAGACAACGACGGACUUCAUCCCCAUUAAGAGAAAGUAAGUUUUCCUAAAGCAGUGACAAAGAACUUUGUUAGCACCCGGGCGUUUGCGUUCAGUUCAGUUUCUGCUCUGAGCAUUAUGUGGCCCGGAGGAAAGAGCAGGAUUCUCUGGCGUGUGCGUAGCAUGUAUGUACGUGUAUAUAAUAUAUAUAGUAAUCCAAGUAAGGAUCUUUGAAGACACAACACAGAUGAGUUCAUCACCUUUUACAUGUUUGUUUCCUGUUCCUCCAAAUCCAUCAUUCCUGGUUCCAUCAGAGUUUAUGUAAAAAAUAACUGGAGUUUUAGUAGACUUCAAGCUGUAAAUAUGAAGCAACAAUGUGAAAUGGCUGCUAACUUAAGCUUGAGCUUCACGAAUGGAAUUCUCGUUUUUCAACAAAGGGGUGGAUGUCACAAGUCCAUCUAGCUUCCCCUCUGGAGCUUGAGGACCCCUGUAAAGAAAUAGAGGGCAAGCAUUUGGGAGGAGCUUGUGAAUUCACCGUAUGUCCAACCCCAAGGCGUAGGUCUGGGUCUAGCCGGGCCAUUCAGAGGCUGUGGCUUUGGGGACAAAUGAGAGGUAAAGCCAGAAGAGUCUCUUCAUUCCUGACCUCAACUCCCCGGUCUGUAAAGUGGAAGCCUCACUUCAGGGUCUGAGAGAACCCCAGUGGUUAGCAAUUCGAUGGAGGUGGGGCAGAACUGGAGAGGAAUGUGAGGAAAGAGAGAGGCAGCGAGAGAUCAGCUGCCCUAGAGGACCAAGGAAGGCACCAAAUUCUUUCCUGCACCCACCACCUCCCCGUCCUCCACUGUGACUCAGGCAAGCCCUUGAACCCCUUGGUUCCUCAUCUCCCAAUCAAUGUGAGAUAGUCAAGCACGGCAGUGGAGGAGAGGAAUGGACAGCUCUUCACAGGAAUAGGAAGCACCCGGUAAAUUCAAGCCGAGCCCCACUGCCCAGCCCCAAGGCAACUCUGAUCUUCUGCUUUUUGGAACUCAGUGGCCUGGAAAAUUGUCCCAGAGAAUCUGACUCUGCAGAGUCCUUAUGGAACAGGAUAAGGUGCCCCAACUGAACACACCCCUGCAGGAGCAUACAGAGCACAAAUCAAAGCAGACCUUUGGGAUGAGUGUGUGUGAGUUCAAGGGACUCUUCACUUUACACAAGGACUCGCCUAGCUCUCCUUUUCUGAGACAGCUUGAUGGACAUAGAUAAACCCAGGUUCUGAUCCAGCCUUGCCAGCUAACUUUUGACAAUCACUUAAUAUCUAUGAACUUCAUAUCCUUUUUUUUAAUGUUUAUUUAUUCUUGAAAGAGAAAGACAGAGAGCUAGUGGGGGAGGGGCAAAGAGAGAGAUACACAGAAUCUGAAACAGGCUCCAGGCUCUGAGCCAUCAGCACAGAGCCCGAUGCAGGGCUGGAACUCAGGAACUGCGAGUUCAUGACCUGAGCCGAAGUUGGACCCUCAACCAACUGAGCCACCGAGGUGCCCUAAACUUCAUAUUAUCUGGAAAAUGGAAAUAAUAUUCAGUUCUCUAAUCUCAUGAGGUCCUUGUGAGGAUUAAAAAGAUAAAUCAAGGCAGUAUUAUCGCUGUUGCUAUUAGCAGUAGCUCAUAAGGCACUACUGUAAGCAUCUUACACUUAUUAAUUCACUGAAUCAUUAAAUAGCCACUUACCCUGAGAACUUUAAAAUUAAUGUGCAUUAUCCCCUUAAAAGCUAAAAGUUUCGUUUAGAAAAACAAUUCACAAGAGAAAAAGUUAAACAACAGUAUAAUUCAGUAAUAUGAUUGGAUGAAAAAUAAACAUGCAAAAUAUCUAGAACAUUCAGGUACCCCACAGCCAGUGAGAAGAUAAAAGAAAUGCCUCCUUUACAAUAGUAAGAAAAGAAAAGUACUUAGGAAUAAACUUUAAAAAAGGUAUAGAAAAUCCGCAUAGAGAGAGCAGCUCCCAAAUGCUACUGAGAGAUCCGCCACCCUGCAAAACAAACAAAUAAACAAACAACACAAACAAACAAACAAAAA